AGUGAACGCUGGCGGCGUGCCUAAUACAUGCAAGUCGAACGAAGUGGCGCAAGGGUGAGUAAUAUAUAGUUAAACUACCCUGAACAGAAGAACAACAGGUGGGAAAGACUGCUAAUACCUCAUAGUGUAGGAUGAGACUAUAUCGUAUCAGCUAGGUGGUAAGGUACUGGCUUAACACGGCUAUGACGCGUAACUGGUCUGAGAGGAUGAUCAGUCACAUUGGAACUGAGACACGGUUCAAACUCCUACGGGAGGGAGCAGUAAGGAAUAUUGCCCAAGGGGCGAAAGCCUGAAGCAGCAUCGCCGCGUGGAGGAUGACUCUUUUCGGAGCGUAAACGCCUUUUAUAAGGAAAGCGGUACCUGAUGAGUAAGCACCGGCUAACUCCGUGCCAGCAGCCGCGGUAAUAC
rnacentral:rRNA from 1 species